UGAGAUUACCCCGCCCAUUCUCGCUCCCCCCUCGUCCCACCAACUCCAGUGGAUCUCCUCUCUGUGUAGAAAAAACUGAGUGCCUGUGUGACCAAACUCUGGACGCCGUUUCCCGAUAGCUAAACAACCGUGUGUAUGCAGAAUGAAGUUUUUAACAAACAAUACGGAUUGCAGCACAGAACAAAUUCAGUGUUUAACUAAAACCACAGAUUGCAGCACCAAAAUAAAAAAACGCAGUUACACUUUACACUGGACAAACAUGCGUACAAGGAUUUCUCAAACCCAUCCGGGCGAAUGACUUGGCUUGGAAGAAAGACGAAAGAAAGGCGAGAACUGGGAAACCUUGCUUCUCUUUCGCUCCUAGCUGGGGUCACCAUUCGUUAAGGAACCAUCCCUUACCUCCCUCAUCAACCCCACUGACAUAAACAAUUACAGACAGAUAUCCUUUCUUUUCUAUCUGCCAUUAACAUUAUUGCAUGUCAAAUUAAACAUUUCAAUUAAAUCAUUCAAUAACUAUUUGUACAUACCUGAUCAACCAGUAACCUGUGUGUUUGCUUGUGUACAUCUGUCUCCUAACCUGUUCCCUUUACUCUGCUCCUGUUCUCCAGGACCUAGGGGUUCUGCCUAACACUCAGACAUGGAUCCACCUGAUGUCCUUCAUUACCAACCACCCUCCAACUUUUCAUUACAUCAUCUACAGCUACGGUUAUUGUCAUGUUGUCAUUAUCUGCUAAGAAAGAGCAAGAAAACGAUCAUACUGGGCACAUAAUGUGAGAUACACAGAUUAGCUAAAAACACUAGCAAUGCAAACACUCAGAACAAAGAUGGCAGCAGUGCCUGGACUUUGCAGUCUCCCUCUUCGAGUCCCCUUUCAAAGACUGUUGAGAACAAGUGACAGGCAGAACCUCCCAUCCACACAGCAAGCACCUCCUCUCUAUUCCACACGGCAGAAUUCAGUAUUUGUCUAUGAUGGCCAUGUGAGUGUACAAAACAUCUGUGAAAGUCAAUUGACACAUGUACCAAAACAAAUCUAAGUUUAUAUAUUUAAAUCUUAAAAAUUGCCAGAUUGGUUUUCACAGCUGUUUCACAAGGUGUUCAUUAUUGUAAAUUGUAACAUAUCCCUUGAUGGUAUUUGUUAGUUUAACAUUAUUCAUUGUUGUAUCCUAGCACCUACUAUAUAUAUAUAUUUUUUAAAUUAAUAGCUCAUUAGUAUGAGCUAUGAGCUAUUAAUAAAAAUAAAUCCUAAUAGAGGACUACUGAAGUAUUAUUUCAGUGUAGAUAAGGGAAGGCCAGUUUUAAAUAAAAACAUGCCAGACAGAUAAGCCAGUGUACGAAUCAAAUGUAUAUGAAUGUAGUGGAAAUUAGCUGACUUUGUGAUCUGUAAGGUAACAAUGUGUGUGGGUGGGCAUAGAAAUUAUAUUUUUUUAACCCAAUGCCUGUUUAUUCAUAAAAAGUGGAAGAUGGUAAAUAACAUUAAUUGCAAUGGUUAGCCUAUGCAAAUGAAUAAGAAAACAUUAAAAGCUUACUAAUAGAACUACAUUUAGCCUAAUUGGGAACAAAUAUAACGUGGGGAAAAGUCAGGAUCCUAGUCAGGCUAUUGUUUGUCAAAUCCAGAUUAAAUAUAGGUCUUCGUGUGUAUCAAAUCUGUAGGCGGUUGUGGGCUAAAUCAAUGACAAACAGCUGAAAUGUUCAGGCUUUAUGAUCUUUGAUCAAAACAGGCUGGGGUGUUUUCGGUUCCGUUUAGGCUAAGGUUAUGCGUAAGGAUGCAACUGCACUGAAAUUAAUAGCCUGAUUCAAUGCGAUUCUCCUGAAAUAGAAAAGUGUUUAUCUGUUUGGUCUAUGGAUAGACUCAUACCAAUUCUAUCUUUUAGGUCUUUUGUGGUAGGCAUAGCCUACCGCUAAUAUUCUGAAUUGUGGAGCUUUUUAAUAAAGCAACCACAUUUUCCUGUGAUGUUGAGGCUGAGCAAGACCUUCGGUAGACUAUGCAGAAAUAAUCGUGGAGUUAAUCAUUGUUAUAGCCUAGAUCGCUUUAUAUAAUCUGGACCGUUGUUUUUCUAAGGCUAAGUAAACAAGGGGUAGCAUAUGCUUUUUGCCCAUUUCUAUAACACGGGUUAGGCCUAUAUCCUCAAUUCAAGCCCUGCUUUUAACCAUAAAACAUCUCCACAGAAAUGUAUAGCCUAAGGAUUGCAUGGUGACAGUGAUUGUGUCUGUUAAAUCGGUAAACUGGGAACUCUGGGGAGGAAAACGAGGUUGAAUCAUGACAUCAGUGAUUUUUAGGUCAGAGAAAGAUGCCAGAGUUUCUGAAUUGGAAUUCUGAGUUGGAUGACUGUUCAAAAUAAUUUUUCCCAGUUUGAGCUCGUUUUUUCCAGAGUUCCCAGUUGUCUUGAACGCACUGACGUCAAGUCAGAGAUUGACAAGUUCUGAGUUGUUUUGAAUACAUCACUAGAGACCUAGGCUACCUCCAACAAAGAAGCCCUUGUGUCCAUAUUGAUUUGAGAAAUAAUUUAUUUAUAUAGCCCUUCUUACAUCAGCUGAUAUCUCAAAGUGCUGUACAGAAACCCAGCCUAAAACCCCAAACAGCAAGCAAUGCAGGUGUAGAAGCAAGUAUUGAGGUGAUAUGCCUAUUUUAGCUAAAUCGACAAAUUAAAUUGAUUACAUUACUCUGGCAAUUAAAAAUAUUUUUUAUAAAAUCAUGUACAUGUAGACGUUUGUAAGGCGUUCAUGGUGAGAUCUUUUAA